CCCAAAGAUCCACGGGCAACACCUGACCCCUCCCACGCCUGCCGGGGAGGGGCAGGCCUGGCUCGGGGUGGGAGGGGGGACGUGGGGAGCCAGGGAGACCCCAUGAUGGCGAAGCAGAAGGGCCCACCUGUGCUUGGAGCAAAAGCCACGCUCCCGCGGCCACCACGGAGCGCGUUCUUGCCACGGGCCCACGUGCGCCCCUGUCGCCCCUGCCCCUUCCUGCCCCGCCUCGCCCCGUUCUGAAAUCAGCGCGGUCCUCCGGGGGCGGAAGCAGAACCGACCGGCCCUGGCGGGGCUGCCUAGGCCCCCGGGAUGUGAUCCCGCGUGAGGUCGGCGUGGCGGGACCACGGCCCGGGGAACCUGCUCUGAGAUUCCGGAAGUAGCCAUGUUUCCUCCCGUGGCACCUGCGCAGGUGCCAGCCGCCGCCCGUGGCACGGUGUCUCAGAGGGCGGGGCUGGCGGGGGAGGCAGGAAAGAGCUGUUUUGCUGAGGAGGUGCCUUCGUGUCACACGGAUGUGCCAGGGACACUGCCAGGAACCCUCAGAGAGGUUGUCCAAGCUUCUCGUGACCUCAGAGCCUGAGCACUCGACUGGAGACGUGGUCUCCUGCAGGACCUGCCCUCCUCCUUCCACCUAUGAAAAUCAAAACUCAGAGAGGUUGUGCGGCUUUCUUCAGGUCACAGAGCAGAGCCAUGUGGUCCACCAGAGAACCUCAGACUCAGUUCUGGGCACCUCCCUCUACCGCUCCCCUACUCUGCCUUACAGCCACCCCCAACCUCCACCCCUUGGUAAUACCUUUUCCUUACACUGGGGUAGCCUGGGACCUUCUCUGGUACCCUUGGAUGGUCAACUAACAUUCUAAGGGGCUGAGAUGCAUUUCCCCACCCCCAAGACCCAGGGGGUCAUGCUAGAGACCCUACUGAUGCCCCUUCCAUGACAGCAAGGAAUGAAAACCAUCUGUGGGGCCCAGCAUCUUCAGGGGAUGCCAAGGGAGAAGGACCAUGCCAAUGUGUUUGGAAAAGAAGGACUGGAUUUGGCUACCUCUGCCCAUGGCUCCCCUGACAAGGACCCAUUGAGACCUAUAGCCACAUCUCUAAGUCCUGGCCUGGAGUCGGGGAGUCCUCCCAAGCAGUCCCACCAGCCCUGCCCCCCUCCUGGCACAGCCCCAGCAGCCAAGGGAUGGAGCCACCUUUCCAGGUGGGUCCUCGGAGCAAAUCUGGGCUCUGAGUAAUGGAGGUAGGGACCACCUGCCUGGCCUGCAGCCCCCCGCCCCU